CUUUAAGACCUCUACCAUGCUUGCACAACCAAAUAUCUUGAGAGAUUCGAGACGUGGCAGGAGUUCACUCGAGGGUUCUGGUGUUGUUGAUGGCUCCGCUGCAGGAGCUUGUGGUGCGUAUCCAAUCAGUUUUUUGCAGUAAUAAAUUAUUAGGCUCCUCAAGGAUACCAAGCUUUGAAACUCUUUCUCUGGCCAGUGGACAAGUGCAUCACACCUAGUAAAAUCCAAGUGUUGAAGCUGUACAAAAUGUGCACAUAGCUCAGCUGCACCCGCCGACUUAAAGCCCCAUAACUCCAUAUCUUUUAGAGGCAAAUCAUUGUGAUUCCCUUUUUCAAUGGCAUCCACCACAAGUUUCAAACUAUGAUCAGCUACUGACAAGGUUGUUUCCGUUUCUCCACUGCUCUGCAGUCUCAAGUUGGUCAGUGAAGUCAUAUGUCUAGCUACCAACAGGAACAUCUCUUCCUCACUUCCCUCAGUGUGUAACACGGACAGCUUUGGAGAAACCUUUUGUUGCCCUGAUGAUA